rnacentral:rRNA from 1 species
ACCAGCGGCGAUAGCAUUUUAAUGCACCAAUUCCCCAUGGAUCACUGAAGUUAAACAACGUUCGCGCAUGGUUAGUAUCCGGAUGGGCGACCACCUGGGCAAUCGCAUGCUGCCGACU